CAUUAUAAUAAAAAAUAUUAUUUUACAUAAUCAUUUUAAUCAAGAAAAUUAUUUUAAUUGCAAAUUGAAAUGUUUUUUUAUUUAUACAUGAUUAGUGUUGUAUAGUGUCCAUUUCGAAUGUUUCAUUUUUCAUUUCCGUUUCAUGUUCCGUCUUUUCCGGUGUGUUUAGACAAGUGGUGUGGCGCGAAACGUCAGUGCAACUUAGUGUGAUUAUUUGCCGGUUUAUUUGUGAAUACACGUCGAUUUACAGGAAUCAUCUAUAAUUUAUAUAAUCCACUGGAAUCCAUGUAAUCAUAUGAUAUACAGAUGUCAUCAAAGAUCUAAUAAUGUCGCCAAUAAACGCCCACGCGGUUGCGAAUCGCCGGCGGUUACACGCGCCAACGAUUGACGACACCUUCCGAAAUCGUCGUUCUAUUACGAUUCUAACGACUAGUAACCACGAGGUAAAGUGAUUUAAAUUGCUGCACCAUAAGAGAUAAUCGUCCUCGGUUCGAGAUAAAAUCCCGAGUUAAAUCUGAGGCGAAGUUGAAAUGGUAGCGGGUUGAAUGGAGGACUCUGGACAUGAGCUUGUUCGUUCCGAAAGAAGUCCGCGAGAGCGGAGAACACGGUGGUCCGUGGCGAUGCAAAUGCAAAUGAGCCAGGUCGGCCCAUAUAGCGGGCGUGCAUAGUGGGUCACAUUAAUCAGCCGGGCCCCACCGGCCAAAUCACUCGCUUUUUAGGCCUCCCUUUAGCCUAUCCUUUAGCUUAUGCGACCAUCGGCCCCCUCCUUCCCCGCCACGAGGAUCCGAGUGUCGCAAAUAUUAUCGCGGGAUUCUGUACGACCGGUUUUCUGCCCGUGUCCCUUUUCCUCGAGAUAAUGGCAACGGGCUUAAAACGAACCACCACUCGAACCCCACCGUACUGGUAUGCUUGUUCGUCUCCUCGCCAAAAUACUUUGUCUUCCGUCCCAGACCAGUUUUGUAACUAUUUGUUUCGGCUUCGUUCUCGAAUUCUUCCCCUCCAACCUUCCGAGAUUCCAACGAGAGCGUACCAAACGAAAGGCACGAGCCGGGUCGCCUCCAUUUUUCGCCGAUUUCGAGAGGGCACACCAAAGUAUCUCUUUGAACGACUAAUCUUAUCUGAUUUUCAACAUAAAAUGUACAU